rnacentral:rRNA from 1 species
AUUGAACGCUGGCGGCAGGCCUAACACAUGCAAGUCGAGCGAGCGGCGGACGGGGGCGUAAUGUAUGGGGACUGCCCGUUAGCGGGCGAUCACUACUGGAAACCGUAGCUAAUACCGCACACUAUCGGCUUCCCCUUAUGGGAUUAGCUAGUAGGUGAGGUAAUGGCCCACCUAGGCGACGAUCCCUAGCCGGUCUGAGAGGCUGAUCCGCCACACUGGGACUGAGACACGGCCCAGACUCCUACGGAUGCAGCAGUGGGGAAUAUUGCACAAUGGGCGCAAGCCUGAUGCAGCCAUGCCGCGUGUAUGAAGAAGGCCCUAGGGUUGUAAAGUACUUUCAGUCGGGAGGCGUUACCGACAGAAGAAGCACCGGCUAACUCCGUGCCAGCAGCCGCGGUAAUUC